rnacentral:rRNA from 1 species
UACGUGAGGGGCGAACGUUGUUCGGUGUCACUGGGCUUAAAGGGCGCGUAGGUGGUUGCGUAAGUAACGUGUGAAAGCCCUCGGCUUACCCGGGGAAUUGCGCGUUAUACUGCGUGACUUGAGGAUCUCAGGGGAAGGGGGAACUCCAGGUGUAGCGGUGAAAUGCGCAGAUAUCUGGGGGAAGGCCGGCGGCGAAGGCGCCCUUCUGGGAGAUUCCUGACACUGAGGCGCGAAAGCGUGGGGAGCAAACAGG